rnacentral:tRNA from 2 species
GGUGACAUAGCUCAGUUGGUAGAGCAAAGGACUGAAAAUCCUUGUGUCGGUGGUUCGAUUCCACCUGUCACCAC